ACAGUCAAACUACAACUUCAAGCAGAAGAGCGAGGCGUUGUGUCUAUCAAGGGCGUGUGUGCGAACCGUUACCUUGCCAUGAAGGAGGACGGAAGGCUGCUGGCUUCUAAAUGUGUUACAGAUGAGUGUUUCUUUUUUGAACGAUUGGAAUCCAAUAACUACAAUACUUACCGGUCAAGGAAAUACUCCAGUUGGUAUGUGGCACUGAAACGAACCGGGCAGUAUAAACUUGGAUCCAAGACAGGACCGGGGCAGAAAGCUAUACUUUUUCUUCCAAUGUCGGCUAAGAGCUGAUCUUAAAGGCAAUACUUGAUCUCAUUUCACGUGAAAGAAGAAGUAUAUUUUAGAAGUUUUUUAAUGAGAGGAAAAGAAAAUACAUGUGCACAGCUCA